UUGAAUUUCAGCACGAAGUGGUUGGUGAGGAUGUGGCGAAGGAUUCUUCGAACCGCGUCGCCAGGAUUGCAGCCCCCAAGCGCACUAAGGUGUGCUGCCUGCAGAAGAUCCUCCACCCUUUGAAGGUCUUCCUCGCAGUUCAUUGGGAACUUAAAUUCCUCAGAUAGAGUGUCUGCUGCUGCUGCUGCUGCUGUCGUUUUUUGCCUAGUAAGGGCCUGGAGGAGGAGGUUGUUCUGCCUCACCAAGGCCUUCAACUCCUCCACAGCACGCAGGAGUGCAUGAUCCCGUUCUACAGGACAGAAAAACAUCAUGACUGUCAUGUCAAGAGGUGCUCCUGGUUUGGGCUUUUUUCUGGUUCAUACGCGCUGCAUCAUAAUUGGCUGUUGAAGACAACAAUGAAUUCUCAUCUGGCAUAGCGCUUUGGAUGACUGCAAUUUUCGUCCGCUUGGUGUCUUUAUACGGUGGCCAAAAAGACACCUUGCCGUCCAAACUUAGCCACGAGCAAGGCACAACCUCCACCUCAUUUGACUCGGUAAAAUGAACUACCGCAUACAUCUAAACAGAAAAUACGUUUUGAAAAAGUUUAACACAUUGAAUUUAGAUAACCGAUUUAAUUGAUU
rnacentral:lncRNA from 1 species